AGGUGAUAGAAUCCACCCUGCCUCUGACAGCAUCCAAUCUGGAGCAAAGGCUUCUUUCAACCCUCCGCCAAGCUCCCAAUACAAGCCCAAAUUCUGGAACAAGUCUUUUCCAACACCUCCUUCAGAGAAACUCCCUGGCUCCAGGCAGGGCUUGCUCCCCUCACUGCAGCAGGAAGCCCAGCUUGCGAACUGCAGGUGUGCUCCAGGUGGUCACUGGAUGCAGGGUAUUGACAGAUGGAUCCCAUCGAUACCCCCACUGCAUAACCAUAGUGCAGUGAAUAGAAGACACUUCUCUGCACCCCAAAAGCUCCAUGCUGAUUGCGAGAAGGAAAUGCUGGAUGGAGGGGUUCCUGGAACUACUGUGAGGGAUGAUACUCCAAAUUGAUACCUAAUAUACAGAAAUGACUAUCAUGGACAUAACCCACAACAUGUGAAAUAUAUGGCUCAUUCUACUGACAUUAUAAAGGAAAGUUAA
rnacentral:lncRNA from 1 species